rnacentral:rRNA from 3 species
GACCCUAUAGAGUUUAAUAUUUGAUUAAUAAAUUAUUUUUUAGAAUUUAAUAUUAAUUUAUUGAUUAAUUAUUUGAUUGGGGUGAUUGAAAAAUUUAAGUAACUUUUUUUAUAUAAAAACAUUAAUUUAUGAUUGUUUGAUCCAUUUUUUAUGAUUAUAAGAUUAAAUUACCUUAGGGAUAACAGCGUAAUUUUUUUUAAGAGUUCAAAUCGAAAAAAAAGAUUGCGACCUCGAUGUUGGAUUAAAAUUUAUUUUUGGUGUAGAAGCUAAAUUUAUUGGGUCUGUUCGACCUUUAAAAUUUUACAUGAUCUGA